rnacentral:rRNA from 1 species
UGGCUCAGAACGACGCUGGCGGCGUGCUUAACACAUGCAAGUCGAGCGGAAAGGCCCUUCGGGGUACUCGAGCGGCGAACGGGUGAGUAACACGUGAGUAACCUGCCCUUGGCUCUGGGAUAAGCCCGGGAAACUGGGUCUAAUACCGGAUACGACACACUCCCGCAUGGGAUGUGUGUGGAAAGUUUUUCGGCUGGGGAGGGGCUCGCGGCCUAUCAGCUUGUUGGUGGGGUAACGGCCUACCAGGGCUCCGACGGGUAGCUGGUCUGAGAGGACGACCAGCCACACUGUGUUGAGACACGGGACAGACUCCUACGGGAUUUCUGCAGUGGGGA